GGGACCCAUAGCUCUGGCUGCGUAUGUGGCAGAGGACAGCUUUGUUGGAUAAGUAAGAAGUCUUUCACUGGUCAACAAGAAUCGUGGAGGCAAACUGGUGCCUGCGGUCUUCCUGAGUUUUUGUUCCUGAGUUUUUGUUCUUCCUCACCAGCUUGGCACUAUCAUAAGCCACUGAAGGUUCCUGCUCUGGUUGAGUUCCUGUCCUGACUUAUUUCAAUGAUGGACUGUGAUGUGGAAGUCCUUGAGCGGGAUGAAUCAGACCUUGCUUUGCUUAGCCCACUGAGGGUGGAGUCUUCCAACCUAGGUAAAGUCUAUUGUCCUGCCACAUCUGCAGCUUACUGAAGGAAGCCACUACCAGCUGAGCAACUGAACUUGUCUUCCUGACAAGAUCCUGGCAAAGCGGGGGUCUCCCCCCUUUAUAUUCAGACCUUAAAAUUAAAAGAUUGAGCCUUGAUCAGGGAA